GACGAACGCUGGCGGCGUGCCUAAUACAUGCAAGUCGAGCGGACCGAACGGAAGCUUGCUUCUGUUCGGUUAGCGGCGGACGGGUGAGUAACACGUGGGUAACCUGCCCGUAAGACCGGGAUAACUCCGGGAAACCGGGGCUAAUACCGGAUAACACCGAAGACCGCAUGGUCUUUGGUUGAAAGGUGGCUUUUGCUACCACUUACGGAUGGGCCCGCGGCGCAUUAGCUAGUUGGUGAGGUAACGGCUCACCAAGGCGACGAUGCGUAGCCGGCCUGAGAGGGUGACCGGCCACACUGGGACUGAGACACGGCCCAGACUCCUACGGGAGGCAGCAGUAGGGAAUCUUCCGCAAUGGACGAAAGUCUGACGGAGCGACGCCGCGUGAGCGAAGAAGGUCUUCGGAUCGUAAAGCUCUGUUGUUAGGGAAGAAGAAGUACCGUUCGAAUAGGGCGGUACGGUGACGGUACCUAACGAGAAAGCCCCGGCUAACUACGUGCCAGCCGCCGCAGUAAUAC
rnacentral:rRNA from 1 species